AUUGAACGCUGGCGGCAGGCCUAACACAUGCAAGUCGAGCGGAUGAAGGGAGCUUGCUCCUGGAUUCAGCGGCGGACGGGUGAGUAAUGCCUAGGAAUCUGCCUGGUAGUGGGGGAUAACGUCCGGAAACGGGCGCUAAUACCGCAUACGUCCUGAGGGAGAAAGUGGGGGAUCUUCGGACCUCACGCUAUCAGAUGAGCCUAGGUCGGAUUAGCUAGUUGGUGGGGUAAAGGCCUACCAAGGCGACGAUCCGUAACUGGUCUGAGGGGCUGAUCAGUCACCCUGGAACGUGAACGCGGUCCAGGCUCCUGCGGGAGGCAGCAGUGGGGAAUAUUAGGCAGUGGGGGGAAACCUGAUCCAACCAUGCCGCGUGUGUGGAGGAAGUCCUCCGAUUGUAAAGCCCUUUUAGUUGGGGGGAAGGGCAGUAAGUUAAUACCUUGCUGUUUUGACGUUACCAACAGAAUAAGCACCGGCUAACUUCGUG
rnacentral:rRNA from 1 species